UCAAACCCGAUCCACUAAGCAACGGAUAGCUCACUGCUCGCUGCUCCCCUUCCCUUCCAGCGUCCGCUCCCACCACGCGCUCAUAGUGGCAAAUGGCCUCCUCCGCCCUGGCGCUCCUUCUCCCACGGGGCGUCCCAGCGCUGCGCGCGGCUUCAGCCUCCCUCCCCCGCCGCUGCGCCUUGGGGAUCCUCGCGGCGGUGGAACCCCUAUCCCCGCCUGCAGCUGCAUCGGCAGGCGAGGGCGCGCCGGCCUCGUCCUCUGGCGGCCCCAAGGCCACACAUCCCUUGAAGGCCCUACAUGGAACUCCGUGGAACCUGCAUCCCGAUUACAGGCGGUGGAAGGAUGCGGAAGAGGAGAUCCUGAGGGACAUCGAACCCAUCAGGAUGCUCACCAAGCACAUUCUCCAUUCCGACAGAUUAGCAUACACUUUCUUUGUGAGAGAAAUAUACCAUAUGAAGAUCGAGCAACUUCAAUCCCAAGGAAUGUUUCAAUUACCUAUAAUAAAUGUUUAUUCUUUCUGUUAUCAACACUAUUCUGAGCAGGGGUAUCAACACAAGCAGUUUGAUGAAGUUUCACAAGGAAGAUGGAUUUUAGUUGUUCAGUUGAUGAAGAAGGAAUCCCUUCAUGGAACUUGAUUAUUGUACUGCUUAUGGCUUCUGAAUACUUUGAUGGUGAGCGUUUGAGUGCCAAGGAUGAAAAAGAAGUCAUAGGAAAACUUCUCAGAUACCAUCCUCGUUCAGAAGAUAAGAUUGGUUGUGGCCUUGAUUAUAUAAUGGUUGAUCGGCAUCCCCAAUUCAAACACUCAAGAUGCCUCUUUGUCGUGUGAACUGAUGGCGGCUGGAUAGACUUCUCGUAUCAGAAGUGUCUUGGAGCUUACAUCCGAGACAAGUACCCACUUCAUGCAGAACGGUUCAUUGGUGAGCAUUUGAAACGCAACUGAAGGUUCAUUAACUGCAGCCAUAUGGUUUUGUACAUCAUCUACGAAGAUCUGGCCAGUCUUUCUUAUUCAUGAAAUAGCAGUCAGAGUGACGCUGAGUUCUCGGAUGAAUAGAAGCUGGUUUUCAAGUGAUCAGUUAGUGUGCAUUUCUUGUGAUACAAUAAGAGCACAGGAUUUUGUGUAGUCACAUUUUUUAUCAUAUUGUAUGGGAAUGAAUAAAUUGAAGGAGUUCCUCUAAUAUCAUUUGAAUUGAACUUGUUUGCUAAAAAAAAUGAACUCUGGUAGAUUGUAUUUGUUGUUUAGAGGGUGAAGAGUCUUGGCUAUAUAGAAUGUAAUGCCACUUUUUUUAUUUUAUUUAAUUGAAUGCAAACUAUUGUGGAAA